rnacentral:rRNA from 1 species
UACGUAGGGUGCGAGCGUUUGUCCGGAAUUAUUGGGCGUAAAGAGCUCGUAGGCGGUCUGUCGCGUCGAUCGUGAAAACUUGGGGCUUAACCCUGAGCUUGCGGUCGAUACGGGCAUGACUGGAGUUCGGUAGGGGAGACUGGAAUUCCUGGUGUAGCGGUGAAAUGCGCAGAUAUCAGGAGGAACACCGGUGGCGAAGGCGGGUCUCUGGGCCGAUACUGACGCUGAGGAGCGAAAGCGUGGGGAGCGAACAGG